rnacentral:rRNA from 1 species
GACGAACGCUGGCGGCGUGCCUAAUACAUGCAAGUCGAGCGAAGUUUUUCUGGUGCUUGCACUAGAAAAACUUAGCGGCGAACGGGUGAGUAACACGUAAAGAACCUGCCUCAUAGACUGGGACAACUAUUGGAAACGAUAGCUAAUACCGGAUAACAGCAUUAACUGCAUGGUUGAUGUUUAAAAGUUGGUUUUGCUAACACUAUGAGAUGGCUUCGCGGUGCAUUAGCUAGUUGGUGGGGUAAAGGCCUACCAAGGCGACGAUGCAUAGCCGACCUGAGAGGGUGAUCGGCCACACUGGGACUGAGACACGGCCCAGACUCCUACGGGAGGCAGCAGUAGGGAAUCUUCCGCAAUGGGCGAAAGCCUGACGGAGCAUACGCCGCGUGAGUGAAGAUAGGAUUUCGGUUCGUAAAUGCUCUGUUGUUAUGGGAAGAAUGAUUGUGUAGUAACUAUACACAGUAGA